UGCCAGCCGCCGCGGUAAUACGGAGGGUGCAAGCGUUGUUCGGAUUUACUGGGCGUAAAGGGCACGUAGGCGGCAUAGUAAGUUAAGGGUGAAAUCCCGGGGCUCAACUCCGGAACUGCUCUUAAAACUGCUAAGCUAGAGAUAGUCAGAGGCGGGUAGAAUUCCUGGUGUAGAGGUGAAAUUCGUAGAUAUCAGGAGGAAUACCGGUGGCGAAGGCGGCCCGCUGGGGCUAUUCUGACGCUAAUGUGCGAAAGCGUGGGGAGCGAACGGGAUUAGAUA
rnacentral:rRNA from 1 species